AGGACGAACGCUGGCGGCGUGCUUAACACAUGCAAGUCGAGCGGUAAGGCCCUUUCGGGGGUACACGAGCGGCGAACGGGUGAGUAACACGUGAGCAAUCUGCCCUUCACUUCGGGAUAGGCCUCGGAAACGGGGUCUAAUACCGGAUAUGACCGCGCUACGCAUGUGGUGUGGUGGAAAGUUCUGGCGGUGGAGGAUGAGCUCGCGGCCUAUCAGCUUGUUGGUGGGGUAAUGGCCUACCAAGGCUUCGACGGUAGCCGGCCUGAGAGGGUGACCGGCCACACGUGGGACUGGA
rnacentral:rRNA from 1 species